GAACUAAUUGGACCCAAUCAACCGGGUCAUGUAAAACCGGAACGCGACCGACUCUUUCAUUUUAAACUUCGAAAAACGUUAAUGCUUUAAAUUUUGGCGGGCGAAAUUCCCCCUCACGCCAUAUUUAUUCCCACCCCCUUUCACCUCUUCCUCUCUCUCUCUCUCUCUCUCUCUCUCCUCUGCAUCGUCGCCAUUUGCAAGCCACAGCGAUGGUUCUUCUCCAACGCGUCGCCCCACCAAACCCUCGCAAGAGACCCGCUCCCUCUCUCCAUCCCCAACCCCAUCCCAAUCCCCAACGCUCCUCCUCUCUCACCGCAAACCCCAAAUCCACGCCGAUCUCAAGAGAGGAGGGCGAAGAAGAAGAAGAAGGAGAAGAUCGCAGCAUCGGCACCAUGAUCUCGCUCCUGGCCGACGCCGGGUGCACCAUCCGCGGCCCCCUCGACGGCCCCCCCUCCCUCCCCUCCGACCCCCACAAGCUCCGCCGAGCCCUCGAGAGCCGCCUCUCCUCCGCCCCCUCCCUCCGAUCCGAGUUCCUCUCCGGUUUCUCAUCCUACGUCCGCUCCCCGUCCAAUCUUCGAAGGGUUCUAAUUCCGGCAUCCAGGGGCCCAUUCGGAGGUGAUAGCCUGGUGAGGCUCCUCUUACAUGUGGCGCCGAUCCAGCUUGAACUCCAGGAGCUGCUUCUCGAGAAGCUUCCUGAGUACUUUGACGCUGCUGCUGCGAAUAACUUGCCUUUGAAUGAUGAUGUGGCCAGGCUAAUAAUUAACCAAUUCCGAUGGCUCGAUUUCCUCGUCAAUCCAGAGGGUUUUUCAGACAAACUGAUGGACGUCCUCUCUGUCUCCCCUCCUCAGCUCAAGAAGGAGAUCAUCGGCUCGCUUCCUGAGAUCAUCGGUGACCAGAGCCACGGCAAGGUGGUCUCCGCACUGGAGCACGUGCUGAUGGAGGAUUCAGAGGUCAUUGUUCCGGUUCUUGAUUCUUUCUCUAAUCUAAAUCUCGACGAACAAUUACAAGAGCAGGCCGUCACCAUAGCUUUAUCUUGCAUCAGAACAGUUGAUGCGGAGCACAUGCCGCAUUUGCUUAGAUUUCUGCUACUCUCUGCAACACCAGCGAAUGUCAAGAGGAUUGUCUCACAAAUUCGGGAACAACUAAAAUUUGUUGGGUCGGUUGAUUCUCAUGCUUCUCAGAAUAAAAAAUUGAAAGGCAUAUCCUUUGCAAAUUCUGCUGAGGCUUCAAUACUUGAGGCUUUGAGAUUGGGCCUUCGAUUUAAAAAUAUACUCUGUGAGGCUAUUUUGAAAGAGCUGAAGUCUAUUGAUCAGCCACAAGAACACAAGGCAAUUGAUGUUUGGUUUCUCAUGCUCAUCUACAUGAAUGGAGGCACUCUCCUGAAGAGUGCAGAAAAAGUGUUGAAAAAGAAAGUGACUGAGGGAUGCUUUCGAGAAGCACUGUUUGAUCAAUGUAUCCAUGGGCACCGGGAAUUGGUAAUGGACCAUUUCUCCUCAUUUCUUUCGGUUAGCGAGUACUUAUUGACAUGCAAGGAGAAAGAAGCUAGAGAUUUUGGAACCCAUUUAUUCACAGCAUUAUUUGAAGAGUUCAGCGAUACUUAUUCAAGGCAAGAGGUCCUUGGUGCACUAGUCACUCGUAUUGGUUCUGGAGUUGAUCACGAAGUGAGUUCUGCUCUGAAGACUAUGAUUUUGCUGACAUCAAAGUACUCAAAAGAGCUUAUUCCUUUUUCCUCCCAUAUAAAUGGUAUCUUAGACUACUUAGAAGGGUUUCAUGAAGAUAAUAUUCGCAAGGUCUACGAAAUUUUCUCUCAUUUGGCAUUGUCCGCUCGUUCCAUCCCUGGCUCUAGUAGCUCUUCAAUUGCAAAUGAACUUUUGAUGAUUGUGAGAAAGCAGGUUAGCAAUCCAGAUAUGAAGUACCGGAAAAUGGGAAUAAUUGGAACUUUAAAGAUAGUUGGCACACUUGGGGAUGCAAAUGUCGCUGCUCAUUUCUCAUCAUCUCAGAGAUCAGAUUGUGAAGAGGCUCUAGAACUGUUAAAGAUGUCAUUAGACUCAUGCAAGCUGGCGGCGUUGCCCUUAAUCCUGCUAUAUGAUGAAUUAAUUGCUUUGUUGGAGUGCAGUACUCUUCAGCCUGAAAUUAUAGAGUGGGUGGGUACUCAAGUGGGGGAAUUUGAGAGCCUUUUCCUAGCUGAUUUAGAAGGAGGUCGGCUACCUCUUAAGCACUCAUCCAAUGAUGUAGAAGUUUCAGGAGAACUUUGGAUGAAUUUGGAUGGCGAGCUUUCUCCUAUAUGUCUCAAUAUUCUGCCUUUAGUGUCCUCUCCUGUUCAAAAUCCCCAGUGUUGCCUCACUAGUGCUUACCUUGUUGGCUUCAGAUGUUCAAAUUCUUUGCAAAUUCUUCCUUCCCAAUUUUCAUUGUUAUCUCUUAUUGAAAGAUUGACAAGUCAAGGUUCUCUUGGUGGAAUAGAUGCUCUACUUGGUUGUCCGCUUCAUCUUCCUUCUGUGAAGUACCUGAUUGGAACUAGCUGGAAAAAGUUGACAGGACAGCAAAGACAGAUUGUUUGCUUCUCAUUGUAUUAUGCAAUCAACUGGAUAAGGGAGUUGCUUAAUGCCUUCAGCACACAAAUUGCUGAUAGAAUUGACUCUGUAACUCCGACAGCAAGGGAAGAGAUAGCUGCAAAACUUUUUAAACGUUUAAGAAAUCUAAUCUUCCUGGACGAUUUAUUAAAUUCCAUCCUCAAAAUUCAUCCUCAAAGUCUACCUGAGCUCUACUACCCCGUGGAACACUCUGGAUCAGCUGUUGUAGACAAGAAUAAUCAUUCAAAGCAAACAGAAAAGGAUAAGGUACAUAGCACCUCUUCAAACAGCAAACAAAAACAUAAAAAGCACCCAACACCUGCGGAUAAAUCAGGCUCAAAUGACAAGCUCAGGCAGCCCACAAUUUUGGAUGCAUUUAAAAGAGCUGGAGUAAUAUUGGGCGAAGAAAUCUUGAAUGCAAGUUCUCCAGAACCAUCAUCGAGUGAGAGAACAUGCGAACGUGAUGCCACUGACUCUAAUGAACUUGGCCUUAUAGAAAUAUCAGCUGCAGCAACAAAUCUGGAAUCAGAAAGAUUCAAAUGCAGACCUCUACUCCCUGUUUGCUUGUUCUUAUUGACCUUUUCUCAGAGACGAGACUCAUGUUGUUCGGAUCCUAAUGCUGAGCUGCCAUUGCAUCUGUACCUUCUUCGAGAUUUACACAACAAAUUGGAUUUUUUGAAUCCUACAACCAAACAAUUUCUGCCUGCUUGCCCAAAGACUUCUACUUGCUGCAGAAUGACUGCAUGCGAAUUCCUAAGAAAAAUUAGACCCUUCUUCGCAAGCCUAAAGAAACAUUUAGAUUGUGCACUGACUAUGCUCAGAGAUGGAUGUGAAAGUUACCAUGAUCAUUGGAAGUCUAAUUGCUCUUCUGCUGGAAAUCCAGAUGUACCAUAUAUGGUUUUUUCAGGAUCUUCAGUUGCUACCUCUGUGUUUCGGGAAGUUCUUUGCUGCUACAGAAAGUUGCUUAGCCUUCCAGACCUUUUCCUUCAGGAAAACUUACCGAUUCUCAAGGACAUGCUAGCAGCUUUCCAGCCGAUUGAGAAAUUUGAUGAUUUCUUGUCAGGGAUUAAACCAGCUCUCACGCCUCAAGACAUCAGUUAUUUAUACUGUGGUGUAUUUUCUUUGUUUGAGGGCAUUACUGAUACAGUAUGCCCCUCUUUUUUGUUAGCAUCAGAAGUGUUAGUCACUAUGCAGUCCAUUGUGAACUCGAUUUCCAUGCUAGUUGAAAAGUCUCCAGACGGAAAUGUGAAGAACAUACAAGCAAGAUCAUAUCAGAGAAUCCUUCCAUUCCUAAGAAAUAGGCUUGAGUUUUCUGCUCGUAAACUGUUAAUGCAUGAUCUUGGUAGUGAGGAUAAUGAAAACGAAUUGAAGGCUAAGGGUGAUCUCAUACAGAAAACACUGCAAGUAUACCUCAAAAAUAGUGAAUCCGCUUUAAAUCUACUUGAUGAGCUAGCUUGUUCUGUAUUGCCUCAGGUUCCUUCAUGCAGGGCUAAAAGCACACAAGAAGCUUGCCAUGAUUUUCCAACUUUGUGCCCUACCAUGUUUGUUGCAUGGUACCGUGUACUACACGAAGAGAAUCUCAGUAUUUUAAGCAAGAUAGUCAAGGAUAUUAUUUCAAGGUACAGAUUAAACUCAGAAAGAGAAACUGCAGAAGAAGUGCUGAUGAAACUCCACAAAUCAGUAAAAGUUGUCGUAUCUCUAGUAAAUAUGUGCAAAGCUCAUGACAAGGUUGCUGUGCAUGCUAUGGCAGUCAAAUAUGGAGGAAAAUUUGUGGAUAUUUUCCUUAAAGCCUUUGACUUCUUACAAUCACACUUUGUGGCACACACUGACAGUAUAAUUCAAAUGGUCAAAGAACUUCAGAAGGCAACAAGGAUAAUACAAACUCUAUGUUCUGAGGCUAAGGGAUCAAAACGAAUAAUGAUCACAAGCAAGAUUCCUUCUACGAAGAGGUCCAUGGAGCGCUUCUUGUUCCAUGUCAAAGCUCUUCUUCACAAUCCGUCUAGCGGCAGUACAUUUUGGAUGGGGAAUCUGAAGCACAAGGACUUGUAUGGUCAGGUGUUGAGUUCGCAAGUGUACAACAAUGGAGAUGAUGCCAUUGACGAAGCAGAGAGUCAAAUGGAGGCUGAUCCUUAGGUGUGUGCUGAUAAUGACGACCAAGAAGGUGAAGAUAACUAAAAGAAUGUGUGCUUAGCACGUGUACGAGGCACAACGUGCUCGGUUGAAUGAUAGAGUUGAAAUUCAACUAGAUGUAAACUUCAUGCUCUGGUCAUCUAUUCUCCUCAUGGCCUUCAAUGUCACUCUUCUAUGAAGCUAAACACUUUACAUCUUAGUAGAGUAGCUAAAAUCAUUUCCAUCAUCAUCGUCACUCUACAUCCAAAGCAAUGCCAGAAGCAGCCUCUCUGCCCAUAUGCAUAAGAUGAAUUAAUGCAUCGAUACGUCAACCCCAUCACGGGAUGGUUCUCCACCAAGAGAUUCCUUUGGUACGUCUCUCUCAGCAUCACCAUUUGUGUCUUGAGCUUAUUUGGCAUGUAGAGUAUGCGUGGAUUAGUGGUAGUGUGAUGCACCAAUAGAAUAGUCUCACAUUUGAUGAAAAAAAAUCAAAAUUUAUAAUACUAAUAAGUGGACAUAAGUAUUUUAGAUUGAUUAUUUGGGCCUAUUAAUGCUAGUGGUCCGGUGAUCACCUUAUCCAAAGA